rnacentral:rRNA from 1 species
ACGAAAGUCUGACCGAGCAACGCCGCGUGAGUGAAGAAGGUUUUCGGAUCGUAAAACUCUGUUGGUAGAGAAGAACGUUGGUGAGAGUGGAAAGCUCAUCAAGUGACGGUAACUACCCAGAAAGGGACGGCUAACUACGUGCCAGCAGCCGCGGUAAUACAUAGGUC